rnacentral:misc_RNA from 1 species
UCCUAGUUAACCUAGGCAGUCUCGUUAGAGUUCCCGCCUUCACGCGUUGGCAACUAACGAUAAGGGUUGCGCUCGUUGCUGGACUUAACCAAACACCUCACGGCACGAGCUGACGACAGCCAUGCAGCACCUAUAUAGAUUCCCUUUCGGGAAUUACAAUCUCUUGUAACGUCAUCUACAUUUCGAGCCCAGGUAAGGUUCUUCGCGUUGCAUCGAAUUAAACCACAUGCUCCACUGCUUGUGCGGGCCCCCGUCAAUUCUUUUGAGUUUCACCCUUGCGAGCGUACUCCCCAGGCGGCAUACUUAACGCGUUAGCUCCGAAACAGAAAGGGUUGAGCCCUCCCACUUCUAGUAUGCAUCGUUUAAGGCUAGGACUAC